UACGGGGGGGGCAAGCGUUGUUCGGAAUUACUGGGCGUAAAGGGCGCGUAGGCGGCUCCAAAAGUCAGGGGUGAAAUCCGGCAGCUUAACUGUCGCAGUGCCUUUGAUACUGUGGAGCUAGAGGGAGGUAGGGGUCUGUGGAACUUCCGGUGGAGCGGUGAAAUGCGUUGAUAUCGGAAGGAACGCCGGUGGCGAAAGCGACGGACUGGAUCUCUUCUGACGCUGAGGCGCGAAAGCCAGGGGAGCAAACGGG
rnacentral:rRNA from 1 species